GACUGUGUCGCUUUGGCAGUGCACUACUAGCUGGCUGUUGAGAUAUAUUCAUUUUUACAGUGGUUAGUUGCACUCCACACUGAUGCAGUC
ensembl:miRNA aca-mir-449b aca-mir-449b